rnacentral:rRNA from 1 species
AUGGUGGGAACAAGUUCCAUCAAGUGUUUCACCUGCGGCGGACGAGGCCACAAGUCCUUUGAAUGUACCAACAAGCGCACCAUGAUCCUCAACGACGACGAAACCUAUGACUCCCUGAGUGAAGAGGAGAUGGAAGCCCUUGAGCAAGUGGCCAUGCACAGGCGCGUGAAUGAAGAUGAAGAUGAUCAAGUCUUUUGUGAUGAGGAUUCGAGCCCCGCUCUUGUUGUCUCCAAAGUCUUGACUCUUCGACAUCAACAAUACGAAGACAAAAGAUGCCAUAUCUUCCACACAAAGGCCGGCAUCAAUGGAAGGUCCGUAAAGGUCAUCAUUGAUGGAGGUAGUUGUCAGAACUUGGCAAGUGAAGAACUAUGCCCCAAGCUCCAAUUAGUCAAGAUGAAGCACCCGCACCCAUACAAAUUUCAAUGGCUAAGCGAUUCCGGCACUAUACAAGUUGAACAUACGGUCCAAGUUUCCUUCAAAAUUGGAGCAUAUGAAGACACUUUGGAGUGUGAUGUCGUCCUGAUGUCCGUUUGGCACCUCCUUCUUGGUUGA